UACGUAGGGUGCGAGCGUUAAUCGGAAUUACUGGGCGUAAAGCGUGCGCAGGCGGUUUUGUAAGCCAGAUGUGAAAUCCCCGGGCUUAACCUGGGAACUGCAGUCGAGACUGUCUAGCUAGAGUAUGGGAGAGGGAAGUGGAAUUUCAGGUGUAGCGGUGAAAUGCGUAGAUAUCUGAAGGAACAUCAGUGGCGAAAGCGACUUCCUGGACCAAUACUGACGCUCAUGUGCGAAAGCGUGGGGAGCAAACAGG
rnacentral:rRNA from 1 species